CUGAGAGAGAAGUGAGGACGUGGGGGGAAAGAGGAGGCGGUAAGGGGACAGCAGACAGGAGGCCUGGAGGGGAUGCCGGAGGCACUUGGUUUGGGGCUGGACGCAGAACGCGGUGAACACUGCGAGCCCUGGAGACAAGGAUGCCUCGUUGUCCAUGCUGUCCAUCUGGGAAGGUGCUGGGAGAUCCUGCCUGGCCUGUAUAUCGGCAACGUCAAAGAUGCCAGAGAUGCAGAGCAACUGAGCAGGAACAAAGUGACGCACGUUCUGUCCGUGCAUGACAGCGCCAGGCCCAUGCUGGAGGGGGUUAAAUACCUGUGCAUUCCAGCAGCGGAUUCACCAUCUCAAAACCUGACAAGACAUUUCAAAGAAAGUAUUAAAUUCAUCCACGAGUGCCGUCUGCGGGGUGAGGGCUGCCUUGUUCACUGCCUGGCGGGCGUCUCCAGGAGCGUGACUCUGGUGGUCGCGUACGUCAUGACGGUCACCGACUUUGGCUGGGAAGACGCCCUGCACAUGGUGCGCGCCGGGAGGUCCUGUGCCAACCCCAACCUGGGCUUCCAGAGGCAGCUGCAGGAGUUUGAGGAGCACCAGGUCCAUCAGUUCCGCCAGUGGCUGAAGGAGGAGUAUGGAGAGAGCCCUUUGCAGGAUGCGGAAGAAGCCAGAAGCAUUCUGGGACUGCCUGGGUGACGCACAGGUAACCCAGGUGUGGGUGCCAGGCCUCGAGGCCCUGCGGUGUCUCCCAGUGCCCACCAGCGAGGACGCGCCACCUGUGCAGCAGGUGUGAGAGAACAGCUUUAGGGAAGCAGGUGCUCUGGCGACGGCCCCAACCCUGUGGCCCCCCACCCUUCGUGGCACCGACAGUCACCGAGGAGUCGGUGCCCUGCGGGUCACAGAUGUUCACCCCGACGCUUUAUAAACCCACAGAGAAGGUGUUGUUUCAUUCACUGGAGGCUCAGAGAGGCCAAGAAACACACUGAAAACUAAAAAUAGAAGCACAGCUUCUGGUCCUGGAACUGCACACCUCUCCAGAAAAGACGUGAGCCGACGUCAGGCGCCCAGAGCACCGCGCUGUAAGCGAGGCUGCUGGCAGCGAGGCCUCCGUGCAGACUCCUGACCGGACCUGAAGUGCCCUGCCAAGUUACAGUAUCCAGGCAUCUCUGUUCUAUUUUACCACUCCUUUCCUUCAGGCUUCGCAGGGAAAAGUCCAGACUCUCUAGAUUUUCUGUCCAACAGCUUCUUCCUGAGAUUAUGAAAAUUUGAUUUCCCCCCCAGAAUGAAAGCAGUCUACAAUGGCAUUCAGAAAAUUACUUUUAUCUGGUCUGUCCGCUAGUGCUUCAUGAAGUGUUUCCAUGUAGGGAGCACCUUCACGUGCUCAGUCCAUUUUCCCCACAAAGUUGUGGAAUCGCCAACAGCCGUGCUCAGCUGCUAAGUAGCAGAACCAAGCCUGGAACUCAAGUCCAGCUCAUAGUCUUUGCUCUACACCACGUUGGAACCGGUGAACAGCGAGCUCUCUGUGGGAGCACAACCACGAUAACCCGCCAAGACAAUUUAGAAACAGAGGUCGAGGCAGCAUCACCACGUGACACCGUCAGGCCCGACGGACUGAUUUAUGAAUUAAUAAAGUGGAAUUGAAUUGCAGAAGAGGCCACAGUUACCUGGUCCGUGAGAGACCAGAUCAUGUCUCCACAUGAUAAAUUUACGCAGGGAAGGGUCUUUCCUCGAGGACUGUGGAUCUCAAAUCGUCUCGAGGUUUGCGGACUUGAGUUGGUUGAGUCUGAGAUCCGCUAAAGAGGUCUAGACGAAGCCAGUGGGAGGCAUCUCGCUUAGAAGGGCGGCAGGCAGAGACGGUGUCUGUCUGGGAGGCACCUGUUGGGUGAGAACCAAGUCAAAGAUGCAGAAAAUGAGCCGGAGGCAGAAGCUGCCCGGGAGAGGUGGCAGGGCUGGCAGCCCAAGAGCCGAGCGGACAGAGGAGGGACGUUGGCCCGGGUUGGGGUGGACUGUCCCGGAGCAGUGCCCUGCGGUCCUGGGCACCUGCCAGGCCGAGCGAGGGGGUGCUGCUAGCUGCGCUGCGCGGGUCGGCACCGGGUCACAUGUUCUCACAGACGCGACUCUGGACCAGUGAGAGCUGCUCCAUGCAACACCAAAUCAUCAGGUGUACCUUAAUAUAUCUUUGAGACCAUAGAGUCGGUCUCCUCUUGUCUGGAAUUGUUUUGCCCCAAAAUAAAAAAUAAAAAAUAAAAAAGCUCUCAAGUCCAUGGAAAAGAAUUGACUUUUUCAAAAGAAAAUUUGAGUAGGAAAGGAAACAAUGGGGCCAUUGAAAAGUAGUCAUAACAACCAUUCUGAAAAGUCGGUGAGUAAAUAUUUUAAUAGAUGAGAUUAAGUACAGUGGUGAAUACAUCUCUUGCUGUCUUAGCUAGAAUAAACCUAAUCGAGCUGUUGAAUCAGUAACCCCACCCUUCCACUUUGGUUUCUAUGAGUUUAAAACUCAAAGCUGAGAAAGCAAGGAACCAUCACGCAAUUUGGAAGCAAAAGACACCUUGGCACUUUGGAAAACAGCCUAACUGGCACCACUUGGGGGGGGUGAGGGUUUUGCCCCAGCCACGUGCACCCGGCUCUGAUCGUGGCACUUGACAGCUGCCAAUGUACGGAAAGAAAACUUUCGAAAUGACUUCUGAAGCUUGUAUUCAUGUAUUUGUCAGAAAGAGGGAGGCAGAAACCUUCGGAUCUUCUCUAGCGCUGGCGGCUGUUCCUCAUUUCCGUGUUUUAGGAGGUGUUUAUGUGUAACGUGUCUGUUGCCUGGACCCUGCUCAGCAAAGCCUUGCUGUAGACUUGUGCCCAUUUCACAGAAUGUGCAGGAGACAACACUGUCUUUUAGUGCCUGUUGUCAUCGCUGAUCAGCAGAAAUCAAAGAGAAUGUUCUACACGACAUUUUCUAGGAAAUGGGUGGGAUUUAAUCGAGCAGACCAGCACGCUUCCUGCCCUCGGCCCAGUGCAGAAGCUGGACCUAAUCAGAACCAUUUAUCACUCAGUUAUCUUUCCUGGGACGCUGGCAGGCGUCACGAGGUGACCCGCCUUCCAGCAGCCUCACCCAUCGGGGCCAGGGUGAGUUCUCCCGUCCUCAGUUUACUGGGCCUUAAACGAGGGCCAGAAUUUCUCAGAAUCUCCGUGUUUUAUAACAUAUCAGGUGUAGAGUCAUUGAAAGAGAAAAGUCUGUUUUGUGCCUGUGGCCUUCGGGGGAGAUUUCCAUUGUGGAAAUGGUCUCUUCGGAGCCCCCACAGCUUGCAGCUAAAGUAGGUGGGGGGUGAGUUUACCACCAACACCUUCCUUUACCCAAACCUUUGCCAGAAUGGGGACUUGGGAUAACGUACCCACUCCUCGCUUUUCUUAGGUCCCCUGGAGCUGAAGGUUCUAGAAAUUUCAAGUGCUGCCUGGCCUAGGGCUGUGUGCGUAUCGGGCCAAGUGGGUAUCCAUCCCUUGACCAGGGGUAGCUCCCCUGCCCCAGACAGGUUACGAACGCCUGGAAGUGACCAGGCCUCCAGGUAAGAGAGACUGUUCCACGCCUCCGAGAAGACACGUGCUGUCCCAUUUACAAUAAAAGAGGCCCCAGAAUCUCUUUGAAUAGACGUUUAUUUUAACUGUGGCGGAGGUCAGAGUCGGCCGUGGGGGAUUCUGGGGGGUUUCAAGCCUUUUUCCCCUUUGCACUUCACGUCACACUAGGCAUGCUCCAUCAUGAAUUAUUUCACAUGCUAACAGAGGACGUAGAAGGUCUCACGGGGCAGACCCCGCUGAUCGCCUGUCUUCUUCCUGGCCAGGUUGGACAUGGGUGGCCAUGCGUACACACUGUUUUCCAUAGAAGGACACACACCAGCACUGACUACACAGCCCGCUGAGCUGCAUCAGGUGCUAACAGAUGGUGCAGCUGUUCGACGGGCAAAAACACCUCGGGCUUGCUCUAACGGUCAUCGGGUCAGCAGAACGUGGGGGUCUGACCUCUGCUUGGGGGGCCGUGCCUGGAGUCACAGGACGUUGCUGGGAUCAGCUGGACCCCUGUUUUGACCCCUCCUUCUGCAAUAUGUUUACCCUCCUACUGUUUUUUUCAUGUUUUUUUUUAAAAAUCAGCUUUAUUGAGGUCAAAUUUGUAUACUAUAAAAUUCACCCGUCUAAGCGUCCAAUUCAGUGAGGUUAAGAACACCGACCGAGUGCUGCAGCUGUCACCGUACACCAGAUGCAGGACUCGUCGCCCCCCAGCACCCCUCAUGCCCACCGACACCCACGGCCUGGUUGUUCUCGCUGGACUUGAGCUUCUGCGCGGGGCCCGCCUGUAGGACGUCCGAAGGUGUCGCAGUUGUCACACGGGGCGGGAGCUGCUCCUGGCGCCCGGCGGAGAGGCCAGCGGUGCUGCU